GACAAAUAUGUCAAGAUGAUAUCAUAUAUAUGAUAUGGCGUUUUGCUCUUGUUGCCCAGACUGGAGUACAAUGGUGUGAUCUCAGCUCACUGCAACCUCCGCCUCCCAGGUUCAAGUGAUUCUCCUGCCUCAGUCUCCCAGGUAGCUGGGAUUAUAGGCAUGUGCCACCAUGUCUGGCUAAUUUUUUGUACCUUUAGUAGAGACGGGGUUUCACCAUAUUGG
rnacentral:lncRNA from 10 species